CCCUACAGAUGUCAACAAUGAAAAUGAAACAAACCAAUCAGUGGAUCAAAUUAAAAGUUUUGGUAAAAGAAAACAGUUGCAUAUACAUGCUAACAAGAAAGGACUUACAUGAAGAAGUGUUGUACAACUAUGAGAAUGGAAGGAGGAUUUGGUGUUUAAUUGAGGAAAUGGAUAAAAAAUUGGUAUGUGUCGAGCAACUAUAGCCACCUGAUAGAAGGGUAAAUUAGAAAGUUCAGAUUACAUUAUGCCAACAGAGAUGAUAACAAUGCCAACCAAGCUAAAAGUUGUCCAGGAAAACUUUUGUAUUGGAGACAAGACAAGUUAAUGACUUAAUGAUAGACUCACUGCAGAGAGAGAUGUUGGAAAAGUGGAUUUUGUUAACAAAAGGAAGAUAAGAUCAAGGCUGCCA